rnacentral:rRNA from 1 species
CCUACGGGAGGCAGCAGUGAGGAAUAUUGGUCAAUGGACGCGAUCCUGAACCAGCCAAGCCGCGUGCGGGAAGACGGCUCUAUGGGUUGUAAACUUCUUUUGUCGGAGAGCAAAUCCCGGGACGUGUCCCGGACUGCGUGUAUCCGACGAAAAAGCAUCGGCUAACUCCGUGCCAGCAGCCGCGGUAAUACGGAGGAUGCGAGCGUUAUCCGGAUUUAUUGGGUUUAAAGGGUGCGUGGGCGGUCCGUUAAGUCAGCGGUAAAAUUGCGGGGCCCAACCCCGUCGUGCCUUUGAAACUGGCGGACUUGAGUUGGCGAGAGGUACGCGGAAUGCACGGUGUAGCGGUGAAAUGCAUAGAGAUCACACAGAACACCGAUUGCGAAGGCAGCUUACCAGCGCCAGACUGACGUUGAGGCACGAAAGCGUGGGGAGCGAACAGGAUUAGAUACCCGUGUAGUC